rnacentral:rRNA from 1 species
AUGCUGGCGGCGUGCCUAACACAUGCAAGUCGAGCGGCAGCGAGUUUUACACUGAAUUCUGGAAGCUUCUGGGUAAUAUAGAAGAUUUAUUCAAGAAUUUUGUGUAAAAUGUCGGCGAGCGGCGGACGGCUGAGUAACGCGUAGGAAUUUGCCCCAAAGUGAGGAAUAACUGCCCGAAAGGGUAGCUAAUGCCGCAUAUGGUCUUCGGAUUAAAGCCUUCGGGCGCUUUGGGAGAAGCCUGCGUUGGAUUAGGUAGUUGGUAGGGUAAUGGCCUACCAAGCCGACAAUCCAUAGCUGGUCUGAGAGGAUGAUCAGCCAGACUGGAACUGAGACACGGUCCAGACUCCUACGGGAGGCAGCAGUGAGGAAUCUUCCACAAUGGGCGAAAGCCUGAUGGAGCAACGCCGCGUGAAGGAUGAAGGCCUUCGGGUUGUAAACUUCUUUUAUGAGUGAAGAAUAUGACGGUAACUCAUGAAUAAGCACCGGCUAACUACGUGCCAGCAGCCGCGGUCAUACGUAGGGUGCAAGCAUUAUCCGGAGUGACUGGGCGUAAAGAGUUGCGUAGGCGGUUUAAUAAGUGAAUAGUGAAACCUGGUGGCUCAACCAUACAGACUAUUAUUCAAACUGUUAAACUCGAGAAUGGUAGAGGUAACUGGAAUUUCUAGUGUAGGAGUGAAAUUCGUAGAUAUUAGAAGGAACACCGAUGGCGUAGGCAGGUUACUGGGCCAUUUCUGACGCUAAGGCACGAAAGCGUGGGGAGCGAACCGGAUUAGAUACCCGGGUAGUCCACGCCGUAAACGAUGGAUACUAGCUGUUGGAGGUAUCGACCCCUUCAGUAGCGAAGCUAACGCGUUAAGUAUCCCGCCUGUGGAGUACGGCCGCAAGACUAAAACAUAAAGGAAUUGACGGGGACCCGCA